GUUUGAAGUUUCAAUUGUUGUAAUGUUUGCGUCCAGUUUCAGAUGGAAGAAUAAUUUUGAGGUCCCUGUCCAGUUUUGAUGUUUCCUUUAUAUCUAACAGAAAAUUCUAGGUGUUAUUUGAUAAACUGCUUGCCAUAUGUGUUCAUAUUAUCCUUGUCAUCCUCUAUCUGCUUGUCAUUUUGGCUUUGAUUAUUCUUUGCAAAAGUGAUCAUUCUUGUUUGUCGGCUAUUACAUCCUCAAUGCUUAAUUGUGUUUAGAUUGAUGACAUGUAUUGAUGGUUGCAGAGGAUUUAACUGUAA
rnacentral:misc_RNA from 1 species